AUCUAUUUCGACAUAGUUUCAGUUCCACCCCAGUCGUCGUUCGGAAAGGUUAGCUUAUUCCAGGUUUCCGAAAGCCUUAAAAUCAGUUUUCGGAGUUAGAAGGUGAGCACACAUCUGUCCAGUGGUCACAGAGGUACAGGAGGCCCCGAGCCUUUGCAAAGGCAGGAACGACAGGGUUUGGCACCACAGGUGGAAAAGAAUCCAGUGACACAAAGCCCAGCAUGUGGGAAUUCCUGGGUCAGGGACUGACCCACGCCGCAGGUGCAACCUGUGUGACCGCUGCAGCAGUGCCUCACGGGAACUACCUUGAAGAAUAUGCUUUGAAAACUGUGGCACAAUACACAGGUUCUUGUCUUCAGCCUGAGCAGGAGUGAGUGGCUCACUUCAGCCUCCACCCAGCCCAGCCGCGAAGAUCACGACUCUCGCCUCCACUGCGCAGGUGAAGAAACAGAGGCUCUCAGGACUGAAGGUCACCAAGCAGAGCUGGCCUCUGAGCCCGUGGGCACCUCUCAGCCCACAUGCUUGAAAUACCUUGCCUGGGAUGAUUGAAGAAAGUCUGCAAUUGGUAACCAAGAGUUUCUGUUAAUAUAACAAUUUACAUAAGCCAUAUCCUUAUCUCAGACACAAUUUUUUUUUUUUUUUUUUUGUCUUUUGCUAUUCUUGG
rnacentral:lncRNA from 1 species